rnacentral:rRNA from 1 species
UAAGGAAUAUUGGUCAAUGGACGCAAGUCUGAACCAGCCAUGCCGCGUGGAGGAUUAAGGCCCUCUGGGUUGUAAACUCCUUUUAUCUGGGAAGAAAUGUACUUUUUCUUGAGUAUUUGACGGUACCAGAGGAAUAAGCACCGGCUAACUCCGUGCCAGCAGCCGCGGUAAUACGGAGGGUGCAAGCGUUAUCCGGAUUCACUGGGUUUAAAGGGUGCGUAGGUGGGCAGGUAAGUCAGUGGUGAAAUCUCCGGGCUUAACCCGGAAACUGCCGUUGAUACUAUUUGUCUUGAAUAUUGUGGAGGUAAGCGGAAUAUGUCAUGUAGCGGUGAAAUGCUUAGAUAUGACAUAGAACACCAAUUGCGAAGGCAGCUUACUACACAAUCAUUGACGCUGAGGCACGAAAGCGUGGGGAUCAAACA